CCAAAAUGGCCACCGAGAUGGGGGAAAGGCCCGGAAAGGGAUUGGAAGGAAGCACCCUUGCUGGUGGCUGGAACCCUUCUAAGUUUUGCUGAAAUCAAGAGAAAGCAGAAACUGAUGACUGCAGCGUUCCCUGGCUUUUAAAUCAGAAAUUCUGCAUGGAACAUCAGACAGAUACACAAGAGAACUGUUGCUCCAGAGUACUUUCUGACAGCUCAUUCUGACAGGACUAUGUAAAGAGCUACGUGGAAAGACGCUGGACAAAUCUAAGUGAUCAGGCAUUAGAACUUGUUAUAGAUGACACAACAGGAUGUCCAUAAUAAAAUGCAUGAUCUACCAGAACCAUGAGAUGCUAGCAAGAAAUCAGAGAUGCUAGGAAGAAUCCAGCAGGUACUGUCCUGCAUCUCUAAAGCAGGUCUUGAGAGAAAUGUUAUUUGGAUCUAGGAGCCAGCCAAUGGACACUUGGCAACAUUAUCAGAUUUAGUGAUGGACAUUAUGGCAGGCGGUGGGGAGGAAAAUUGGUUUAUCUUUAUCUUCUUUACAAGCAACACACUUAGAACAGAAACAGGGCUGCCUAAGGCAAAUAAAGAUUUUUAUUAAGUAACUGUACCUCUGAAUAUCCUAGUAUAGGUGUCAUGGUUAAAUUUUUAGGUGCCAUGGCUCCCUGGCACAUGUCAACCCUUGCCACUGUUCCGUCUAACAGGG